GAGGAACGCGGGCGGCGUGCCUAAUACAUGCAAGUCGAGCGAACGGACGAGAAGCUUGCUUCUCUGAUGUUAGCGGCGGACGGGUGAGUAACACGUGGAUAACCUACCUAUAAGACUGGGAUAACUUCGGGAAACCGGAGCUAAUACCGGAUGAUAUUUUGAACCGCAUGGUUCAAAAGUGAAAGACGGUCUUGCUGUCACUUAUAGAUGGAUCCGCGCUGCAUUAGCUAGUUGGUAAGGUAACGGCUUACCAAGGCAACGAUGCAUAGCCGACCUGAGAGGGUGAUCGGCCACACUGGAACUGAGACACGGUCCAGACUCCUACGGGAGGCAGCAGUAGGGAAUCUUCCGCAAUGGGCGAAAGCCUGACGGAGCAACGCCGCGUGAGUGAUGAAGGUCUUCGGAUCGUAAAACUCUGUUAUUAGGGAAGAACAUAUGUGUAAGUAACUGUGCACAUCUUGACGGUACCUAAUCAGAAAGCCACGGCUAACUACGUG
rnacentral:rRNA from 1 species